rnacentral:misc_RNA from 1 species
GAAAAACAUGGUCCAGAUACAGGAUUAAGGUCUUGGAGUCAUGGGAGUAAAGUUCUUGGAAUUUGUCGAACUAUGAUCAUGCAUCACUAUAGUUCCAAAUUAUUUGUUGGGCUGUCUCGUCUUUUAUCAUUCACUUGUCUUUACUUCCCAGAUCUGGAGGUUCGUGAUAAUGCCAGAAUAUACCUGCGGAUGCUGAUUUGUGUUCCUGGGAAAAAGUUAAGAGACAUUCUAAACAGUGGGGACUUGCUUCCUGGAAUUUCUCCAUCUAGCCAUUCCAACUCUUUCUUCAGUGUUCAGUCACCUAGACUUUCUCACGACCCCAAGAAAUCUAGGA